GUGGGGAAUUUUGGACAAUGGGCGAAAGCCUGAUCCAGCAAUGCCGCGUGUGUGAAGAAGGCCUUCGGGUUGUAAAGCACUUUUGUCCGGAAAGAAAUCUGUCUGGCUAAUACCCGGACGGGAUGACGGUACCGGAAGAAUAAGCACCGGCUAACUACGUGCCAGCAGCCGCGGUAAUACGUAGGGUGCGAGCGUUAAUCGGAAUUACUGGGCGUAAAGCGUUCGCAGGCGGCUAUGCAAGACAGAUGUGAAAUCCCCGGGCUCAACCUGGGAACUGCAUUUGUGACUGCAUGGCUAGAGUGCGUCAGAGGGAGGUGGAAUUCCGCGUGUAGCAGUGAAAUGCGUAGAGAUGCGGAGGAACACCGAUGGCGAAGGUAGCCUCCUGGGAUGACACUGACGCUCAUGCACGAAAGCGUGGGGAGCAAACAGGAUUAGAAACCCUGGUAGUCC
rnacentral:rRNA from 1 species